rnacentral:rRNA from 1 species
AGAUGGCGACCGGCGCACGGGUGAGUAACACGUAUCCAACCUGCCGAUAACUCGGGGAUAGCCUUUCGAAAGAAAGAUUAAUACCCGAUGGCAUAAUUAGACCGCAUGGUCUUAUUAUUAAAGAAUUUCGGUUAUCGAUGGGGAUGCGUUCCAUUAGGCAGUUGGUGUGGUAACGGCUCACCAAACCUUCGAUGGAUAGGGGUUCUGAGAGGAAGGUCCCCCACAUUGGAACUGAGACACGGUCCAA